GACGAACGCUGGCGGCGUGCUUAACACAUGCAAGUCGAACGAAGUGGCGAACGGGUGAGUAACGCGUAAUCAACCUGCCCUUCAGAGGGGGACAACAGUUGGAAACGACUGCUAAUACCGCAUAAUGAAGGAGGGGAUUGCGUCUGAUUAGAUAGUUGGAGGGGUAACGGCCCACCGAGGCGAUGAUCAGUAGCCGUUCUGAAAGGAUGACCGGCCACAUUGGUACUGAGACACGGCCCAGACUCCUACGGGAGGCAGCAGUGGGGAAGCUUCCGCAAUGGACGAAAGUCUGACGGAGCAACGCCGCGUGAGUGAGGACGGCCUUCGGGUUGUAAAGCUCUGUUAAUCGGGACGCGGUACCGGAAUAGAAAGCCACGGCUAACUACGUGCCAGCAGCCGCGGUAAUUC
rnacentral:rRNA from 1 species